rnacentral:rRNA from 1 species
GACGAACGCUGGCGGCGUGCUUAACACAUGCAAGUCGAACGGAAAGGCCCUGCUUUUGUGGGGUGCUCGAGUGGCGAACGGGUGAGUAACACGUGAGUAACCUGCCCUUGACUUUGGGAUAACUUCAGGAAGCUGGGGCUAAUACCGGAUAGGAGCUCCUGCUGCAUGGUGGGGGUUGGAAAGUUUCGGCGGUUGGGGAUGGACUCGCGGCUUAUCAGCUUGUUGGUGGGGUAGUGGCUUACCAAGGCUUUGACGGGUAGCCGGCCUGAGAGGGUGACCGGCCACAUUGGGACUGAGAUACGGCCCAGACUCCCACGGGAGGCAGCAGUGGGGAAUAUUGCACAAUGGGCGGAAGCCUGAUGCAGCAACGCCGCGUGCGGGAUGACGGCCUUCGGGUUGUAAACCGCUUUCGCCUGUGACGAAGCGUGAGUGACGGUAAUGGGUAAAGAAGCACCGGCUAACUACGUG